GCCUGGCUGGCUCAGAUGGAAGAGCAUGCAAUUUUUAAUCUUGAGGUUGUGAGUUUGAGCCCCAUGUUGGGCA
rnacentral:tRNA from 1 species